rnacentral:RNase_P_RNA from 1 species
GGGAGAUGGAGGGUGGCCGACGGUAGCCGCAAGGCAGCUGAGGAAGUUCCCUCCUCCAAGGGCAAGAUGGACGCACGCAAGGGCGUACGGCGAGAGCUGUGGCAAGGGCCCAGAAACGACACAGACCGGAUAUACAGGAUGAUCCGCAAGGCGGUGACGUUCCCCGGGAUUUGGUGAAACGGCGACUCCCCAUCGGAGCAAGUCCAUACAACAGGGAUGAACGGCCCGGGACCUGUGGGUAGGACGCGAAGUUGAAUGCCACCUGAAACAGAAGGGGGGCUACUACCAUCACC